GACGAACGCUGGCGGCGUGCUUAACACAUGCAAGUCGAACGGAAAGGCCCUGCUUUUGUGGGGUGCUCGAGUGGCGAACGGGUGAGUAACACGUGAGUAACCUGCCCUUGACUUUGGGAUAACUUCAGGAAACCGGGGCUAAUACCGGAUAGGAGCUCCUGCUGCAUGGUGGGGGUUGGAAAGUUCCGGCGGUUGGGGAUGGACUCGCGGCUUAUCAGCUUGUUGGUGGGGUAGUGGCUUACCAAGGCUUUGACGGGUAGCCGGCCUGAGAGGGUGACCGGCCACAUUGGGCCUGAGAUACGGCCCAGACUCCUACGGUAGGCAGCAGUGGGGAAUAUUGCACAAUGGGCGGAAGCCUGAUGCAGCAACGCCGCGUGCGGGAUGACGGCCUUCGGGUUGUAAACCGCUUUCGCCUGUGACGAAGCGUGAGUGACGGUAAUGGGUAAAGAAGCACCGGCUAACUACGUG
rnacentral:rRNA from 1 species